rnacentral:rRNA from 1 species
UACUAGAGUAGCACUCGCAUAUCAAUAAGCGGAGGAAAAGAAACUAACAAGGAUUCCCCUAGUAACGGCGAGUGAAGCGGGAAGAGCUCAAAUUUGAAAUCUUAAAGGGUUUCCCUUUACGAAUUGUAGUUUAAAGAAGUGUUUUCUGUUGAGGUUUUGGUAAAAGUUCUUUGGAAUAGGACAUCAUAGAGGGUGAGAAUCCCGUAUUUGACCUUUACUCUCAACUUUGUGAUACACUUUCAAAGAGUCGGAUUGUUUGGGAAUGCAGUCCAAAAUGGGUGGUAAAUUUCAUCUAAAGCUAAAUAUUGGCGAGAGACCGAUAGCGAACAAGUACCGUGAGGGAAAGAUGAAAAGAACUUUGAAAAGAGAGUUAAACAGUACGUGAAAUUGUCAAAAGGGAAGCGUUUGACACCAGUGUUGUUUUUCUGAAAAUCAAUUAAAGAACUGUUUAUGCUAAGUUGUUUAGACUUUAUCAGCUAACUGUUUAAUUUUGAGCUUUUCUUUAAUGCACUUUUCAGUUAACAAGUCAACAUCAAUUUCUUUUGCUGUAAAAAAGCUUGAGGAAGGUGGCUUGAGAUUCGUCUUAAGUGUUUAUAGCCUCUUGCCUAUGCAGUCGGAGAGAUUGAGGUCUGCAGCGUAGAUCCUUCGGGGCUAAAUGCAUUUGUGCUAAGUUAUAGCAUUUUAUAGACAACUUGUUGACUAUGAUUUGUCUUGUAGCUUACUCGCUUAUGUUAUUUUACCUACGCUUAGGAUGUUGAGCGCAUGUCUCUCUCU